rnacentral:rRNA from 1 species
AGUGAACGCUGGCGGUAGGCCUAACACAUGCAAGUCGAACGGCAGCACAGUAAGAGCUUGCUCUUACGGGUGGCGAGUGGCGGACGGGUGAGGAAUACAUCGGAAUCUACUUUUUCGUGGGGGAUAACGCAGGGAAACUUACGCUAAUACCGCAUACGACCUACGGGUGAAAGCAGGGGAUCUUCGGACCUUGCGCGAUUGAAUGAGCCGAUGUCGGAUUAGCUAGUUGGCGGGGUAAAGGCCCACCAAGGCGACGAUCCGUAGCUGGUCUGAGAGGAUGAUCAGCCACACUGGAACUGAGACACGGCCCAGACUCCUACGGGAGGCAGCAGUGGGGAAUAUUGGACAAUGGGCGCAAGCCUGAUCCAGCCAUACUGCGUGGGUGAAGAAGGCCUUCGGGUUGUAAAGCCCUUUUGUUGGGAAAGAAAAGCAGCAGGUUAAUACCCCGCUGUUCUGACGGUACCCAAAGAAUAAGCACCGGCUAACUUCGUG